rnacentral:lncRNA from 1 species
UAUGAUAAUCAGGGUCAUAAUACAUUCUAAUCCAGCUCAAUAUUGUUUUUUUUUGUUUGUUUUUUUUCAGCCCAUUUCUCCAAUGUGGAGUUUCUUCAUCGUGUUGGGAAUCUUCCUGAUACCGUCUGUCGGAGAAGAGAGCGCCUCGGCCUCCCACUGGCUGGUCUACACCUCCACAGCAGUGUCGGAGGCGGGGCUCCUCUCCCAGCUCCUGAUCUCCAGGGUUCUGGACCAGCAGACGGUCUCUCACUGGGACAGCGCCUCCUGGAGAGAGACUCACACCAGCCACUGGCCCAGCAGAGCUGCCGGCCUCAGAGAUGUCAACUACGAGCAUGAGGAGAUGGAGAACAGGGAGAGGCUGCAGGGAAUCCUGAGGACGAGGAGCAACAUGGGGAAAGGUCAGUCAGCCCUUCGCUCUGUCCUCUGUCCUCUGUUUCUGUGUGUCAGUGUCAUCAGUCUCUGUGUGUGUGUGUCACUGUCCUCUGUCUCUGUGUCUGUCAGUGUCCUCGGUCUCUCUCUCUUCAGAUGUGCUGUGAUCUGGGGGAUGAUGGGAGUUUGUCUGUACUGUUAGUCUCCUCAGUCUCUCUCUUCAGAUGUGCUCCAGAGCUGGUGAGGCUGUAGACUGGGGGAUGAUGGGAGUGUGGCUCUGUUUGAUCACUACGGCUUCAAUGGACAAGACUUCCUGUCCUUUGAGGUGGACACUAUGACCUGGAGAGCAAGUUCCCUACAGGCAGAGGACACUCAGAGGGACUGGAACCAGAACAGGGUUAAAAACCAGUAUAUCAGAGCCUUCCUAGAGAUUGACUGUAUGGAAACACUGAAGAGAUUCCUGGAGUUCAGAAAAAUAGACAAAAACCACACAGGUGAGACAGAGAAAACUCCCAGUGCAGUAUUAAUGUACUGGAGUGUCCAGUCAGUGUGUCUGUAUUAACCCCUCUCUUUCUCAGUGCAGUGUUAAUGUACGGGAGUGUCCAGUCAGUGCGUCUGUAUUAACCCCUCUCUCUCAUUGCAGUUUUAAUGUACUGGAGUGUCCGUCCAGUCAGUGUCUCUGUAUGAACCCCUCUCUCUCUCAGUGCAGUGUUAAUGUACUGGAGUGUCCAGUCAGUGUGUCUGUAU